rnacentral:misc_RNA from 1 species
GCCAUGCUUCCCGAUCUCAAUCGACCCCACUCCUUUCUCUUCGUAUCGUUGGCCCUACCUCCCUCACUUCAUCUCCUAGCUCGACCAACAACAAGCUCAAGCUCAAGCGCCUUGCCCCUGGCCUAGUGGAACUCUCAUCCCCCGUCCAAGCCAUCCAGUCUCCUUCCUCUGUCCAACUUCAAGCUGAAGCCCCCACCAUUCUAACACCAAAGGCAUUCACGACGUUAUGGCCAAUCGCCUCCAUCAAUGGCUCAAACUCAAAAUUACUUGGUUUUGAAACACUCCUGACAUCCCUUCUCGGCCCAAAGGCAAACAGAAAGGGCUCGUUCAAGCUGUUGAAGGCCAAUGUCUCUGCUCAAACGACCGUGAGGAUCGGUUUUGGUGUUGACAAGAAGUUGGAAGAAGGAGAUGGGAUCAACAUGGAGGGAUUUCCAGAAUGGAGGACUAAACCUGAGGUUGUGAGGUUGCAUUUUGAGGUUCUGGCAACAGUCGACGGUGAGCGGAUCAUACCGGAGAGGGUAAUGCCGGUUCAGCCAGUGAUCAUCGAGGAUACGGUUGCACCUGAUGUUCAACUGGGUAACGUGAGUAUGUCAAAAACUCCUAUUGUUUACACCCCAUCUGAUCCAUUCACCCUGUGAUUAGUAUCUGCAGGUUUGGUUGCCUUUUGGAUCAUUGUCUGAUGGGAGGGAAAGG